rnacentral:RNase_P_RNA from 1 species
AGCGGGCCGGGCAGCCGCAUGCAUCGCAUGAGGAAAGUCCGGGCUUCAAAGGGCAGGAUGCCAGCUAACGGCUGGGCGGGGCGACCCGACGGAUCAGUGCCACAGAAAAGAAGACUCCCGCCUUCGGGCGAGAAAAGCUGAAACGGUGUGGUAAGAGCGCACCAGCAUGCAGGUAACUGCAUGGCUUGGCAAACCCCAUCCGAAGCAAGCGCAAAUAGGGAUGCCAUACGGUUGCCCUUCCGUGCAUCCGGGUUGCGUGCUCGAGGCGGCAGGCGACUGCCGUCCUAGAUAAAUGGCUGCCUUCAACGACAGAACCCGGCUUACACGCCCGCUCC